UUACUAUUAAUUUAUUUAAAUAUUUAAUAUUAUAUUGAAAUGAUAAUCUUUUCUGAUAGAUAGUGGUUAUAUAUGAACACUUAUCUCUGCAAUCAAACAGUGUUAUCUAAAUUGUUUGUUAAAUGAUGAAUGGACAAAAUAAGUCCCAAGGCGUUUUCAUAUUUGAUGACAAGGGGUCCGGCUACAGAAGUAAGCUUCAGCUUAGGAACUAAGGAAACCAAAGUUGUGUUUUGUAAUUAUACUAUGUUUUUGGAAUUAUGUUCAUUGGCGUAAGUUGCCGUUAGUCGGUAAGAUUGUACUUGCUUUUUAACCUUUUCCUUAGUGAUUUUCAAAAUUGGUAAAGACCUAUUUAAGUU